CCUACGGGUGGCAGCAGUAGGGAAUAUUGCUCAAUGGGGGAAACCCUGAAGCAGCAACGCCGCGUGGAGGAUGAAGGUUUUCGGAUUGUAAACCUCUUUUGUUAGAGAAGAUAAUGACGGUAUCUAACGAAUAAGCACCGUCUAACUUCGUGCCAGCAGCCGCGGUAAUAUGGAGGGAGCAUGCGUUAUUCGGAAUCACUGGGCGUAAAGCGCGCGUAGGCGGGAUAGCAAGUCAGAUGUGAAAUGCUAUGGCUUAACCAUAGAACUGCAGUGGAAACUGUUAUUCUAGAGUAUGCGAGAGGUAGGUGGAAUUCUUGGUGUAGAGGUAAAAUCCGUAGAGAUCAAGAGGAAUACUCAUUGCGAAGGCGACCUGCUAGAGCAUAACUGACGCUGAUGCGCGAAGGCGUGGGGAGCGAACAGGAUUAGAUACCCGAGUAGUC
rnacentral:rRNA from 1 species